UACAGAGGUCUCAAGCGUUGUUCGGAUUCAUUGGGCGUAAAGGGUGCGUAGGCUGUGGGGCAAGUCUGGUGUGAAAUCCCGGGGCUCAACCCCGGAACUGCAUCCGAUACUGCCAUGCUUGAGGGUUGGAGAGGUAGCUGGAAUUCUCGGUGUAGCAGUGAAAUGCGUGGAUAUCGAGAGGAACACUCGUGGCGAAGGCGAGCUACUGGACAACAUCUGACGCUGAGGCUCGAAGGCCAGGGGAGCAAAAGGG
rnacentral:rRNA from 1 species